CAGCCGCCACGGUAAUACGGAGGGGGCUAGCGUUGUUCGGAAUUACUGGGCGUAAAGCGCACGUAGGCGGCUUUGUAAGUUAGAGGUGAAAGCCCGGAGCUCAACUCCGGAAUUGCCUUUAAGACUGCAGAGCUAGCAGGUGAGAGAGGUGAGUGGAAUUCCGAGUGUAGAGGUGAAAUUCGUAGAUAUUCGGAAGAACACCAGUGGCGAAGGCGGCUCACUGGCUCAUACUGGACGCUGAGGUGCGAAAGCGUGGGGAGCAAACAGGAUUAGAUACCCGCGUAGUCCCUGUCUCUUAUAA
rnacentral:rRNA from 1 species